AUGGCACGGCUACCACACGCGUCGCCCAUCCCGCAUGCCGCCAAGCUGUAUAAAACCCUCCCCACCCCGUACACAAACCCUAGCUCCAUUCCCCUCGCUCUCUCACUCACCAUCUUCGAUUUGGACGCGCCCGAGUACCCAACCGCCAUGGUCGUCGUCUUAGCCACGACCAUCGCGGUCCCCACCGGCUUGGAGCUUGUGCGGCAGCUCCAUCGCGGUCGUCUGCAUCUUCUACUCUACCGAAUCAAGGCCGGGAAGUAUCACCCGCGACGCUCGCGCCUUCUUCCUCCGCCAUGGCUGUCUAACACCGUCGUUCGAUCUGCAUCAUCCUGGCAACCUCGGGCCUCCCCGAGCUCUCCAUCGGACUCGCAGUGA
rnacentral:rRNA from 1 species